rnacentral:snRNA from 1 species
GUGCUCGCUUCAGCCACACAUAUGCUAAAAUUGGACAAUUCAGAGAAGAUUAGCAUGGCCAAGGAUAAUAUGCAAAUUCGUGAAGUGUUCCCGAGGGUC